GCUGUGGAAACUAAUCAGAAACCAUUAAAGCCGAAAUGUUUUCUGAGCAACACAAUGGCUGACACUAUUGUGGCUGAAAGACCCGUCCUUGGUCCCAGCAGGAAUUUUUCUGUUUGCUUCAUUAGAAAUACCACGUGGCCCAAAAUAAGGUGUGUAUGGUUUACUUACUGGGACUGGAUGCCCCUUCAAAUAGAGGGCAGUCUUCAGUAAAGAAGGACAGAUGACAACCCUUGUGACCAAUCAAGCUGCAUUCCAGCAGUGCAUCUACGUGGGCCAAAGCAGUGUAUGUGGGAAAUACUGACAAGGAGGGAUCAUCAGUGUGAUAGUGCACAAAAACAAGAGAGGCACUGAAGACAGUUCUGAAAUGCAACAGAGCCCCACAAUGAUUGUAUGAUGCGAUUUCAGAACAUAAGACACAAGAAGAGCCUGCUGGAUCAGGCUGGUGGCCAAUCUAACCCAGCAUCCUGUUCUCACAGUGACCAACCAAUUGCCCAUGGGACCCCACAAGCAGGACUUGAGCGCAAAGAACAUUCUCCUCUCCUGUGGUUUCCAGCAUUUGUUAGGUCAAAGAUUAGCAAUGAAUUGACUAGAGUUGUGCCAUUACUUGAUCAUGUUUUUUCUGGGAAUCAUCUUCAUGAUUUUGGCCAACAUUAACAUUCCUAUGACUAUAUUUGGAUGGUCUAUCAGUGGGUGAAUGGCUAGGGAUGGGAGAAGUGGGAAUAGGCUGGAUUGGACCAUUCAGGUACUUACUGUCCAGAGUGGAAACACAUUUAACAUUCAAAAUCAGAGAGGAACUUCUGGGAGAAAUGUUGCU